UGUAUAUUUGUAAAGGGAAAUCUUGUACCUAUUUUGAAACAUUCUAUUUUUCUUAUUGUGAAAUCAUUAGAUGCCUCGUGCCUCGCGCGCUUCGUCUCUAGCCAAGAUGAAGUGGAAGAGGAUUCUUCCCAUGGCGACGACUCCGGCCAGAGGCUUCGUGCCUGGUAUGUAGUCGUAAAGAUACAAUGAUGCAUGUUUUCAACUCAUUUAUAUUCCUCAGAAUUCUAUUGCAUGAAUGUGUGAUGUUUGACUUUUAGAUCAACAGCUCGAGAUAAGUUAUUCAUUUUAGUUUUGCGUUGAAUUUGUCUCUUUAUUAGUGCUUGGCACUGGAGCACGUCACCGUGUCAAGCCUUGGCCUGUCUCUGCCCUCACUGGGAAGUUCCAUCGAUUGGAUCUCCCUCCUGAGUCUCCAGUUAAGCAGUUUGUGCUGUUUGUGGGCGACUCGCAUCUGCGUGCGUUGGUUGACCGUUACGUGAGGAUGCCAGACGGUUGCCUUUCGUUUGGGUUCCUGUCUACGCCUGGGGCGUCUGCCGCUGAGCUCCGCACUGAGUUGCUGAACGCAGACAUCCCCAGAACCCCCGACAUCGUUUGCUUGCUGGCUCCAAGCAACAACCUCACGGCGACGCCCGGCAUCGAAGCGGCUGGAGUUGCCUUCGAUGGACUUCUGAGAGCUGCCCGCAGUCGAUGGCCUAAGGUGUUUGUGCUCGAUUUCCCUCCCCGGCUGGCGAGUGAAUUGGCACCGCAACA